CAAACCUCCCGAGUCCGGACCACGCCCGACGCCUCGCCUUGAACCACCUCUUCCCCACAACCACGCUCCAGGCGCACAUCCGCCUCCACGCACCGCCCGGGCCGCCGCACCCACGUUCCAGGCGGACGGCCGCCUCCACGCGCCGCCCGGACCGCCGACCGCCACGCCCACGUUCCAAGGCGGACGGCCGCCACCACUCGCCGCCCGGACCGCCGACCGCCACGUCCACGCUCCAGCCAAACGGACACGUCCUCCACGCGCCGCUGGAAAUCCACCCUGCAGGGGAAGGGGGAGAGGGCACCAUCGGCAUCUCUGUCCUCCUGUGCUUGGUGGCCGCCAUGUACGCGGAAGACCAUGAGGUCGCCGGGUCCGUCGCUGGCUGACCGAAGGGUACCCGGAGGACGGCCGUCUGUCGCGAGCCUCGCCGUCUACCUUCACCAGCCACCCCCGAACGCCAUUUGUCGGGCUGGGAGGGGAAGGAGCGUCGAUUCGGAGAUGUAGCAGAGCGCUUGGCGGCAGCUGUUCUCGGCCGGCGACGGCGUGUGCCGCGUCGAGAGGCUCGCCUUGGCGCCCACAUCGUCCUCCUACUACUUCUCGGCGCCGCUGACCCGGCGAGAGUCGAGGGAGGUGACGUACAUCCAGAGCGUCUGCGCGCAGAUGAACCGGCUCUGGUGCUCCAUCCCCGCCAAGGCGCAGCGCAAAAUCUGGAAGAGGUUAGGAUGCUCUUCUUAACUUGCUCGGUUAGUACGUUUCUGUAUGCCGCGUGAGUUGCUGAUGAGUGCGAGGCAGAGAGAGAUCUACAAGUACCGAUGAGUUCUUCGUGCGAGCGGGCGCAGAUCACAGCUUUACUCUAUGCUAUUUUCGUCAUUUUGGUUCCUUCGACAUUGUUAACAGUUUUCGUUAGUUAUUUCAACAAAAUAGCCAGGGAUGCUGUCCAGCUGAUGCUUGGUAUCGACUCGAAGUUCAUCAUCCACCGUAUUGAGGUUAUCUACCUGGACUCUGUAGUCACUUUAUAUUUUCUAUAAAAACAUGAAUUUCAUGCUAGGUUAUUCCCAGAAAGGCACUGAAUAACUGUACAUUCCGACCCUUUCCUCGCCCGUGUCAUAUGCUCGCCGUCAGCAAACAUCACAAAACAGAACCUGUUUAUUUCAUCAAAGUCACACAACCCACUAACUACUAUCAAACUGAAGACUUCAUUUUCCUUUACCUUGUUGUACAUUUGCAUUCAGGUCAAAUUUCCCAUUUCUACCUGCGAGUAAACCAUUCUUGUAUGCAGAAACAAUUGAGCACGUUUUGGACAUUCCUUGGUAGAAAAGAUACAUACUGAUGAUUGCCAUCUCAAGUUUAGUGUUGUCAACUUCAAGUCCCUGGUCCCUGUUGCUCUGAACUGAGACAUAUUUGACCCACAGUUGGCUGCACACUAAUUGUUGGACAGAAUGUUGACAUGUUGUGCUUACUUUAUAUCACGAGGUAUGAUUACUUUAUAACAUGUUAUAUGUCACUGUAAAUGGUCCCAAAAUGACAGGAUAACUUCAGUUAUGUUUCGUGAUUGCCAAUGUGCCCAUAGCACAGCACCACUCCAAGCUCGAGAAGGAUUGCAUUUUUUAUGUUUUGUGCCAUCACAUAUUGCUCCAUCGUCACGUAUGUAUAACAGUAUAAGUGAGGAAUCACUAGACCUCUCCUAGCCACAUGCUGAUCCAUUUCAUAUUCUUCUAAAUAUAAGAGUCGCCAUUUAAAUUGCCUUGGAUUAAAGCUACGUGCACUGAUAUUUAUUAAUUGUUGAAGCUCUAUUUUUUUGUUCAAUUUUGGCUAGGAUCUCUCGAUGAUGAUCAGCAGUAUUGCAAGUUCGGCAGAAAUAAGUGAGUACGUAUAAUUAUAUGACGAUAAUAUUGGGGUACAAGAUCAUUUCCUAUUUUUCAUGGAGUUAGAGAACAAGAUGGUGCGUUGCAUGUUGCACAUUCAGGAUUGCUACAUAAUUAGCAUGUGAUCUUUAGACAAGUGAAUGUCUAACUGCCAUUGUUAAGUGACAGUGACAAGAACAACAUUUACAACCUGUUUUAGUAUCUUCCAGGUUAGAUAUACCAUCCCGCAAGGUCAAGAUUUACUGAAAUGGAUUAUACUUAUAGUUGGGACGCGUUACUUUUAACAUUUCAAACAGUUCCUAGGUUCGGGCUAUGCAGGUGAGACUGCCGGCGAAAAUCGUACUCCGGUUGUGGCCGGAGUCGUCGAUGGCGGCGCUUUCAGGCAUCGCUCCCUUGUUGGAGGCAUCGAUGUAGCUGCUCUCACCUUGCCUUUCCCGACGCACUCUGGGGGAAACCCUUGAUUUAGUUAGAUCGGACGAUGGCGGCGCUACUCGGCGUCGCGUUCUCUCUUGGGAGCAUCGUCAUGGAGGUGGAUCUGGUCAGAGGGACUCGUGGCUCGUGAGGAUGUGUGUGUUGUUGUUUGCCGAAAGGCGCCGUUGUAUGGUUUUCGGGUCCGGUUUCCCUCAUAAACUGGACCAACCUCCUUUCUUCUGAUCAAUGAAUUUGGUAGAACUACUACCAACAUUCAAAAAAAACAUUUCAAACAGUUCCCGUUCUCUAGGUAUGGGCGUUUCUCAAGCUGUCGCUCGAGUUUGUCAUCAUGCUCUGCAAUGAGAUUUUCUACCUCUUCAUGAUCAUUGUCCUGACAAGCAAAGUCCAAGAUGGGUAGAUUGUCGUUCAUUCACUUGGCUGGUACUUACUUGCUUACUCUUAUUACUUGACUGCUGAGCUCACAACCAGAAGUUCAGAACCACUACUUGAUGAGAAAAUUCUGAGCUAACUAAAUAUAGUGUGCUUCUCUUUUUAUUCUACAUUCUUUGGAAUACUAAUUAUAGCAUGGGAAUGCAUGAUCUUGAUGGCCCUCUAUGCUGCUAUCAGGUCAGAUUAGUUACAACUACACGUAUAAACUGUUACUCUUUGCUCUGAUUCUCAUCUUGCUUUGGAUUAAAUUCUUGGCGAGUAGUUUCAUCAGAUAGUUCUUAGUAGUGCAUUUUCCCAGUCACAAAAUUUUCCUUUAUCCCCAAGGAUAAGUUAGAGCAUAAAAAUGAAAUCAGAAACUGGGGUGGAUAUUGUUAGGAAGGGCAUAUUGUUGUACAUCUAUGCCAGCCUGCACUAUGCACCAUUUCAUUCACGCGGGAAGGUAUUGUAACAUCCAGAAAUAACAAGCUAGCUGAAAAGACAUACAUACUAUUGACUUAAUGGUUGUGACAUAUUUGGAGUUGCCCCAAAGAGAAAUAGAGGGUCAGAGUUAUAGUGGAAGCCACCACCCACUGAAACUGGAACGAGUUGACUGGGGGAAACCGCCUUCAAUAUAUAAGAGUUCCUUCUUACACCUAAACUAUAAAAAAAGGAGUAUGCAAAAGUCACCUUGGAUCAUACUUCAAGGAAUGUAUUACUCUUUGCUCCAUUCUAUUUAAAUUACAUAUUGUAACAAUUAACAUGUUGAUGUGUGUCUGGUUAUGUCUUGCCUUGCUACUUGGGUGCCACCAAUGUGUGUUUAUUGUCUUCCAUGCAAAUAAAAGAAUACAAAUACAUCAGGCCUCUUAAUAUUUGUAUCUACUACUGAUAUUUGUUUCUUUUUUGGCUGAGGCUCUCAAAGGUGUAGCCUUCAAGCUUUACAAUAUGGGUUGGGAUUUCAGAGAUGAUUUGUGCAUUAUAAUUGGAAUUUGGGUAAUUUCAUGGUUUGAGGAACAUAACUGCAUCUGGAGUGGCUGAGCACAUGCAACACUGCAAGCAUACACCUUGAAACAGACACCUCGAUGGCCUGGCAAGUUCUACUCCUGAAAUCAACAUCUAUGCCUUGAGUAAGUGUCAGCGGUAUCCCUAGGUCUGACAACAAUCAUGCGAGAGCAAUCUGUGGUGGUAGAUUUCUGCAUGAUGUAUCUUCAAUAAGGAUGUCACUGUUGUAUUAAUGUAUGUAUCCUGCUAAUUUUGCAAGACAAUUUUUGAAAUGUAACUUCAGAAUUCAAAUGACUUCCUUUCAUCA